AGGCUUAACACAUGCAAGUCGAGCGCCCCGCAAGGGGAGCGGCAGACGGGUGAGUAACGCGUGGGAAUCUACCCAUCCCUACGGAACAACUCCGGGAAACUGGAGCUAAUACCGUAUACGCCCUUCGGGGGAAAGAUUUAUCGGGGAUGGAUGAGCCCGCGUUGGAUUAGCUAGUUAGUGGGGUAAAGGCCUACCAAGGCGACGAUCCAUAGCUGGUCUGAGAGGAUGAUCAGCCACAUUGGGACUGAGACACGGCCCAA
rnacentral:rRNA from 3 species